ACGGGCCUGGUUAGUACCUGGAUGGGAGACCGCCUGGGAAUACCAGGUGUUGUAGGCU
rnacentral:rRNA from 1 species